GACGAACGCUGGCGGCGUGCUUAACACAUGCAAGUCGAGCGGAAAGGCCCUGCUUUUGUGGGGUGCUCGAGUGGCGAACGGGUGAGUAACACGUGAGUAACCUGCCCUUGACUUUGGGAUAACUUCAGGAAACUGGGGCUAAUACCGGCUAGGAGCUCCUGCUGCAUGGUGGGGGUUGGAAAGUUUCGGCGGUUGGGGAUGGACUCGCGGCUUAUCAGCUUGUUGGUGGGGUAGUGGCUUACCAAGGCUUUGACGGGUAGCCGGCCUGAGAGGGUGGCCGGCCACAUUGGGACUGAGAUACGGCCCAGACUCCUACGGGAGGCAGCAGUGGGGAAUAUUGCACAAUGGGCGGAAGCCUGAUGCAGCAACGCCGCGUGCGGGAUGACGGCCUUCGGGUUGUAAACCGCUUUCGCCUGUGACGAAGCGUGAGUGACGGUAAUGGGUAAAGAAGCACCGGCUAACUACGUG
rnacentral:rRNA from 1 species